UACAGAGGGGGCAAGCGUUAUUCGGAAUUAUUGGGCGUAAAGGGCGCGUAGGCGGCUUGGCAAGUGGAUGGUGAAAUCCCUCGGCUUAACCGAGGAACUGCCGUCCAAACUGCUUUGCUUGAGACCGGGAGAGGUGAGUGGAAUUCCCAGUGUAGCGGUGAAAUGCGUAGAUAUUGGGAGGAACACCAGUGGCGAAGGCGGCUCACUGGACCGGUACUGACGCUGAUGCGCGAAAGCUAGGGGAGCAAACGGG
rnacentral:rRNA from 1 species